rnacentral:misc_RNA from 1 species
GCCUCUUAGGAUGGGGCACCCCUGGAGAUUCAAAGGUGAGAGAGCAUGAGAGCAAGGUCGUGGUCAGACAUUUUAACAUCAAUACAUGUUCCCAAGGAAGAAGCAAGUCUAGCAGCUAAUUGAUGCUUACAACACACAAAGUUGUUCCCCUCUGUUUACAAUGUCAUAGAAGAAGGAAUAACAAGCACAAUAAUGUUGUGGAAAGCAUAAAUAUUCCUCCU